AUGUCUCAGAUACUCGUUCCAGACUAUGGCCAGACUAGUAGCUCGCCUGUGCUCUUCUCCGCCGGCGCGGCCCCAUCUCCGCGCCUGGCCCUCCUCCCACAGCAGUCCUCCCCGUGCCCAGUCGCAGCGCUGCUCCGCCCUCGAGCUGCUUCCGCCCCUCUCCACAUCCAGUGGGUGGGCCGGCCUCCCCUAGCCGCUCCUCCUCCACCCGCGGCCGCAUGCCCGCGCUGGCCCGGUCGUCCGCGUCAGCGCCCCCGCGUGCCUGCUACUACGGCCCGCUCCGUCAAACGCCCCGGCGCGCCAGGCCUACCCUGCUAUGCCAGCGUCGCUGCCCCUCGCCGGCUCCCGCGCUCCUGCCGGCUCGCCGCCCCGCGCUGGCCGGCUUGCGCGCACGCCGACCCUCUGCCUCGCGUCGCCCCGGCCAUCGGCUCCUCCCACAACCCGGCUGUGCCGGCUCCGGCCGGCUUCGGUCCCGCCUGCUCGCAGCGUCCGGCCGCGCCCCGCUCCGGCCUCCUCCGCGCGCCCGGCCCGCGACGACUCCGGGUCGCCUGCGCCGCCCGCGGGCUCGCGCCCCCGUCGUCGUCUGCCCCUGCGACGCCACCUCUGGUGUCUCGUCCGCCGCCGCCUCCCGCGCUGGCCGGCCUCUCGCGCCGCCUACUGGACUCGCCCCGCUCGGCCGGCUUCCGCGCUGGCCGGCUCCCCUGCCGCCCUGUGCCCGUCCGCGUCCGGACUACGCGCGCGCCUGCUCCACCUCGAGCCCGGCCGUGUCCGGCUCCCUGGUGCCGCCCCGUGCCCGGCCGGGUCCGGCGAGCGUCGCGCUCGGCCACCCAUCCCCGCCCCAGCCGGCUCCGGGUCCCCGCCGGGUCGCCUCCACCUGCGGCCGGGUGCCCCGCACUCGCCGGCUCCGGGUCCUCGCCGGUUCGCCUCGUGCGCGCUCUCACGCUGGCUCCCGCCCCAUGCGCCUCGCACCGCUGCCUCCAGCCGGCCGCGGCCCCGGGCCGGCUCCGCCCCGCACGCGCGUGGCGCCUCCCACUCCGCCGACCGCCGGCUCCGCCUCCGCCCGUGGCCGGGUUGCGCGUGCCGGCUCCGCCUGCCAACCCGGCGACACGGCGCUUGGCCGGCUCCGCCCCGCAUACCGGCUGGCCGGCUCCGCCUGCCAACCCGGCGACCCGGCGCUCGGCCGGCUCCGCCUCGCCUACCGCCUCCACCGCGCUCGGCCUCCCCGCCGCCUACUCGCGUGCCGGCUCACCGCCCCGGCCGGCUCCCAGCCUGGGCCGCCUCGCAUCCGGCUGCCGUCGCGGCCUCGCCCCGCGCUCCUCUGCCAGCAGAAAAGAGCAUCCGGAUCCGGCUAAAAAAAGAAGAAAGUGCGCGUCCGAGAAACGAAGCAAAAGAAAGAAAUGUGCGUCCGACUGCCAGAUGUGCGUCCGACCGCUGGCUGCCUGGCCGGCUACAAAGAGCCCGACUGAUGUGUCGGAGUCCGCCUGCCCAGCCGACUGA
rnacentral:rRNA from 1 species